GGGUAACCUGCCCAUCAGAAGGGGAUAACACUUGGAAACAGGUGCUAAUACCGUAUAACAAUCGAAACCGCAUGGUUUUGAUUUGAAAGGCGCUUUCGGGUGUCGCUGAUGGAUGGACCCGCGGUGCAUUAGCUAGUUGGUGAGGUAACGGCUCACCAAGGCCACGAUGCAUAGCCGACCUGAGAGGGUAAUCGGCCACAUUGGGACUGAGACACGGCCCAGACUCCUACGGGAGGCAGCAGUAGGGAAUCUUCCACAAUGGACGCAAGUCUGAUGGAGCGACGCCGCAUGAGUGAUGAAGGUUUUCGGAUCGUAAAGCUCUGUUGUUAGGGAAGAACAAGUGCCGUUCAAAUAGGGCGGCACCUUGACGGUACCUAACCAGAAAGCCACGGCUAACUACGUGC
rnacentral:rRNA from 1 species